UACGUAGGGUGCGAGCGUUAAUCGGAAUUACUGGGCGUAAAGCGUGCGCAGGCGGUUUUGUAAGCCAGAUGUGAAAUCCCCGGGCUUAACCUGGGAAUGGCAUUUGGGACUGCAAGGCUCGAGUGCGGCAGAGGAGAUUGGAAUUCCCGGUGUAGCGGUGAAAUGUGUAGAGAUCGGGAGGAACACCGGUGGCGAAGGCGGGUCUCUGGGCAUCUCCUGACGCUGAGGCGCGAAAGCGUGGGAAGCAAACGGG
rnacentral:rRNA from 1 species